rnacentral:lncRNA from 11 species
GAGGGGGGCGCGCGCCUGCCUGGGGAUGGAAAGCGUGUCAAAGAAAGUCAUCCUUUGGAGAUUCAAAUUGACUGCUGUAUCCACCUACACGUCUGUAUUUUCAGCAUUUCGUAAAUCGGAAGCUCACAAUUGGAAGGCAAGCAAUGACGACAUUGAAGGACAAGUGAAGCCUUCAACCCACGACAGGCAGGAAGGUAACACUUGAGCCGAAAAGGAAGGCGAGAAAUAUAUGCCUUAAAAAGGAAUUAAUGAUUUUCCUCUGUUCAAAUGAGUAAUUUUGUAAACAUCUGGAAAAACGAAAUUGUACUUCAAGUUUCCUAUUUUCACCACUCAAGGCACGCUACAACGCCUACAGACUAUCAUAAUGGGAUACAUAAGUGCUACUGGUAGAAAGCUACUGAUUUUAGCCUCAGAGUUUAUUGUUGAAGGGCUCUCUUUGAAAUAAUUUAAAUAGUAGCAGGCUCCUGAGAGUCCUUGAUCUAUUUUGAAGGAUGAGAGAAGAAGCUGCCUUAUACAGAGAGUCAGACAGCUACUUCAUUCUGGCUUCUAAACUAGUUUCUUUUGGAAUCUGGAAGAGCUUUUCAGAAUCUGUGUGUUUUGAUAUCAGCAUCCACCAUGUGAAAUGUAUUAAAAUUCAUUAGCAAACGAGUGCAUGCCUCUGUGCACACCAAUUAACUGACAUUUUGAAGUAGAUGAAAAAUUUAAAAAAGAAUCAAAGGCUUUCUCGUAUAAGAAAAUUAGGCAAAAAAA